rnacentral:rRNA from 2 species
GGGGAAUAUUGCACAAUGGGGGAAACCCUGAUGCAGCGACGCCGCGUGGAGGAAGAAGGUCUUCGGAUUGUAAACUCCUGUUGUUGAGGAAGAUAAUGACGGUACUCAACAAGGAAGUGACGGCUAACUACGUGCCAGCAGCCGCGGUAAAACGUAGGUCACAAGCGUUGUCCGGAAUUACUGGGUGUAAAGGGAGCGCAGGCGGGAAGACAAGUUGGAAGUGAAAUCUAUGGGCUCAACCCAUAAACUGCUUUCAAAACUGUUUUUCUUGAGUAGUGCAGAGGUAGGCGGAAUUCCCGGUGUAGCGGUGGAAUGCGUAGAUAUCGGGAGGAACACCAGUGGCGAAGGCGGCCUACUGGGCACCAACUGACGCUGAGGCUCGAAAGUGUGGGUAGCAAACAGGAUUAGAUACCCUGGUAGUCCACACCGUAAACGAUGAUUACUAGGUGUUGGAGGAUUGACCCCUUCAGUGCCGCAGUUAACACAAUAAGUAAUCCACCUGGGGAGUACGACCGCAAGGUUGAAACUCAAAGGAAUUGACGGGGGCCCGCACAAGCAGUGGAGUAUGUGGUUUAAUUCGACGCAACGCGAAGAACCUUACCAAGUCUUGACAUCCUGCGACGAUGCUGGAAACAGUAUUUUCCUUCGGGACACAGAGACAGGUGGUGCAUGGUUGUCGUCAGCUCGUGUCGUGAGAUGUUGGGUUAAGUCCCGCAACGAGCGCAACCCUUACUGUCAGUUACUACGCAAGAGGACUCUGGCAGGACUGCCGUUGACAAAACGGAGGAAGGUGGGGAUGACGUCAAAUCAUCAUGCCCUUUAUGACUUGGGCUACACACGUACUACAAUGGCGUUAAACAAAGAGAAGCAAGACCGCGAGGUGGAGCAAAACUCAGAAACAACGUCCCAGUUCGGACUGCAGGCUGCAACUCGCCUGCACGAAGUCGGAAUUGCUAGUAAUCGUGGAUCAGCAUGCCACGGUGAAUACGUUCCCG